rnacentral:rRNA from 1 species
AUUGAACGCUGGCGGCAGGCCUAACACAUGCAAGUCGAGCGGCAGCGGAAAGUAGCUUGCUACUUUGCCGGCGAGCGGCGGACGGGUGAGUAAUGUCUGGGAAACUGCCUGAUGGAGGGGGAUAACUACUGGAAACGGUAGCUAAUACCGCAUGACCUCGAAAGAGCAAAGUGGGGGAUCUUCGGACCUCACGCCAUCGGAUGUGCCCAGAUGGGAUUAGCUAGUAGGUGAGGUAAUGGCUCACCUAGGCGACGAUCCCUAGCUGGUCUGAGAGGAUGACCAGCCACACUGGAACUGAGACACGGUCCAGACUCCUACGGGAGGCAGCAGUGGGGAAUAUUGCACAAUGGGCGCAAGCCUGAUGCAGCCAUGCCGCGUGUGUGAAGAAGGCCUUAGGGUUGUAAAGCACUUUCAGCGAGGAGGAAGGCAUCAUACUUAAUACGUGUGGUGAUUGACGUUACUCGCAGAAGAAGCACCGGCUAACUCCGUGCCAGCCGCCGCGGUAAAAC